rnacentral:tRNA from 1 species
UAGCUCAAUAGGAGGGCAUCUGCCUUCCAAGCAGGAGGUUAGUGGUUAGAACCUGCU